CAGGGCCUGCCAGCGCUGUCUUACUUAACCGUCUCGGGGAUGGCACCGAGAAGCUAGUGUGUUGCCCAAGACCAUGCAGCCAGUCCUGUGGGACUCCACACGGUCGCUCUACAGCCAUCGAGGGACAGGGAUGGUGGCACCUGGCGAAAAUGGAAACACAAGACGCUAGCAUCGCUGUGCUGGUUGCCAGUGAUUUUAGUUCAGCAGAACCUGAACUAAAGCUGCCAUGUGUACAAGCCAGGGCCAGCCUUCUGUGGAAUUGAGGGACAAGGGGUCCAGGAGCCCCUCUGCCCCAGCAGAAGAGAUGCCUAGAGGGCCGGCUGCUGACCACAGACGCACGAGGGAGCCUGGCUGAAGAUAGAAGCCCCACCCAAGCUACGCCCAACUCACACUGUCCAGCCUCAGAAGCAUAAGCUAAAUGAAUGGUUGUUGUUUUAAGUC